rnacentral:lncRNA from 1 species
CUUCGCGCACCUCGGCAUACCACAUCAUGGCGUCACAGACGAAGUCACCGAUGGGGGCCUCGCCCAGGCGAACAGUGGCCUUGUCGGAAACCAGGGUGUGCGACAGAGUGCCCAGUGCGCAGGAGGCGGUGGAGGUGGGCGCCGCGGAGCAGAUGCCGCUGCUGCCGCCCAGGUCGCAGCGGUUGAUGCGGCCCUCGGCAGCAGCGUAGCCGGUGACCUGCAGGGACAGGAAGAGGGAGCCGUGAGGGCCAUCGGGCAUGAGAAAGACGCGUGUGUGUGCACUGCGGCUCCAACCGCCCCACAUACAACGUAAUCACUAGUCACGCCAUACGUGCUUUAGACGCUAUAAAUGUUUAGACGCUAUACCUAUCUACCAUACAGGAUAUGCUCGGUACGCGACUUAUCGUACACGCGGCAUAUGCUACAUAUCCUACAUAUGCUACAUAUGCUACACAAGGGUUAUAGCGUAUAAGCGACCUAUGAGACACCAGAGGCACACUCGGUAGCAACAGCGGUAAAAGUACACGUUCCAAAGCCUGGCGUGAAUGGGGGCGCGGGGACCUGCUGAGGGGCGAAUGGGUCCCCGCGUAUCCCUUGGUACCACCUACGGGGGAUUCAACGCGCACAUACACACACACAGACAGACACACAGACACACAGACACACACACACACAGCCACGCACACACACAGACACACACACACAGACACACAGACACACACACACAGCCACGCACACACACACACAGACAGACACACAGACACACACACACACAGACACACACACACAGACACACACAGACACACACACAGACACACACACAGACACACACACAGACACACACACACACACACACACACACACAGACACACACACAUAUAUGCGUCCGCAUCCCUUCUCACUGCUAGGUUACAUGUCAGGGUCGGGCUGCUUUAAAAGGCUGCACACAAAACCAGUCGGCAAGUAGUGGUGGUUACUGUGCGCAUGGAGUACUCACAGGUGAACUGUACGACAGGAACUCCUCCACAGCAUCCACAACAAAGAGCCCCGUCACCGCUGCCGUCUGCGCUGCCCUGAUGGUCAGGUAGCCAUCGCCGCCUGACCAGAGGGAGUGGGGAGGGCCGGGGAAGGGCGGAGAGGUAGGUUAAGGGUGGGAUGUAAGGGUGUAUUGGUAGGCCAACAUCACCCCCAUUUCAGGACAGACCCUAGCACAGGACAGUGCUACGUGUACUGUGCUAGGGGACUCAACAACUCGGUAUCCGGGCCCCAAAGCAGCAGCAGUAGCUGCAGCAGCUGCGAAUCCAGAUUGACCCACACCAAAAGUUUGGAAAACAGCAAAGGAGUUCAACAGGGGAAGAAGUAACGCAGAUGAUGGUUUUCCUCAAUGGCAAAGUAAGGUCGUUGAGGCAAAAGUGUAACGAACCAACACGCUGGGCGACGCUGCCAGCAUCCGUGUCAACGGGUACCCUAAUAUUAGGGCAACCACCGCAUCUAGGCCGUACAGCUGUACGGAGCCCGUUGCAAAAGGCUGUUGGAUUCACAGCGUUACCCUAAUAUGUACGGCACCUGAUGGGUAGCGACGCUACCAUGCUACAGUACUAUAUAUUACAGAAAGGUGUGUAUGUAUUUGUGUGUAUGUGUGUAUGUGUGUAAAACAUCACUAGCAGGCACGUGAUGGUGUUCCAUUGUCGCACUCACAUUGCUUGUGCGCCGCCGUUAAUGUUUGUGUGGGGGCCCCUACCCCCUAUGUUCUUUGUGCCGUUCUAGCGAUAUCCUCCGGACACCUGAGCAGCACAGCCCCCCAUCCGUCAAGUCACACACUUACCCGCCGCCAUAUAAUCGUUGGUCACCAAUGCGUACUGGGCGCAAGGAUCGACGGGCGAGUACGAACCGUCCCCGUUCGCAACCUCAAUGGCCGACACGCGCUGGUUGACCGGCUUGGUGGCGUCGUACGCAAAACGGAAGCCGCCCACCUGUCGAAUAAAGUGAAAGGAUGCAGUUACAUUAACAAACACAGCAAGCUGAAGGAAGCCAUUGUGGACGAGCCUCCGUACUUGUUUCCGUACGCCAUGUCAAGAGCUAGGGUGUUUGGACCUGCUAUUAAGACUUCUACCGUCGGCCCGUUCACACAUCAAGCAGUCGUACACGCAUUAACGCCGGUACGGCAGAUGGCCCUCGGGCCUUAACCCUUGCCGAGCCCUGUGGAAUAAAAUCCGUAGUCUCGUUCAGCUGAUCUUGUCUGUUCCCACCGUUUUCCUUCCUAAAGUGCAUAUCAUCUUACACAGUGCCGUACAUAUUUCCCCUCCGGUUUCUUCACUCAGCCUCUAAGCUGCCGUAAGGCUGGACACCGGUACCGAUCAGCGGCCCGGAUGGUGUUGCGGUCUUGAAGGAACACCCCAUCGCAGGACGGAUGCGGUUAAUAGUGCCAACUGCCUACUGCCAACUGCCAACCGCCAACUGCCAAAUUGCAGUACGGAAAUGUAUUUGCAUGGCCUAUUGUCACCAUCAUGUACCCCGUACACGGUAUCACCUCACCUGUGCAAACUGCCCGAUCGCCUCGCCCCCGGCAAUGUUGCCCUCAACGCUGUUCUCGAGAGCCGAUUUGAGGCCCCUGACGGAAAUGCUCUUGAUCACCAGGGUGUUGCCGUACGGCAGGGCGGCCGCGAUUUGGCCUGCGGUGUUGGUGUUCCCAUGUGUCAUUUUUUGUUCAACACCGUUUAUUAAAAACUUAUUAAACUAAGUAAUCAAUUAUUGACACUGUUUUCUGUGUGAGCUGCUAGUUCGGACCGUAUGUUGCAUGAACUGCAUUGGAAUCGUUGUUGAUGGGGUUGUGUUACACUGUGGGCGGCUCGUCCCGAUAAAGGACGAGCACGGGGGGCCUGACCGGGGACCGAAACACAGUGCAGGGUUGUAGGCUGUUACAGAGUGGGAGGCUUCUGAGCCACUUGAACACAAAGGAAUUGUGCCUGCAUUGCGUGACCCUGUCUACGAUAUGUAUGUACCGUCUCCGCAUACACAUCGGAAACGGUAAGUGCCCGGGUAGUUGCGAUGCAGCGGACACAUACAUUGAACAUGCCUACUGUGUACGACGCCGUACAUUCAGCAUACCUCCGGUCACCAGUCCAGCAGGGAUGUCUGCGCGAAUCGAACCAGAGUUCACCAUGCACAAAUCCGGCCUCACGCCUGUCGUCAUCUGUUCAUAUACGCCACCAUUUUAAGAAAAAGGAGGGAAGAGGGGUGCAAGGAGUAUAAGGGUGGGAGUCCCUUUGGGACAAGGCUUGGGAACAAUGGACGGCACGCAGCAGGACGGCACUGGCCCCAGCAUGGCGUAUUAUUCGCAUGCAGGUACGGCAGCACAGAUCCAUUUUCUGCGAUUUACAGAUGAUGCAUGCGUUUGUUUAUACAGAGCGUGUACGCCAUCCAAGAACCGCUUGCAGAUAGCAUCAGUCGAGUUGGUCAAAUAAGCUGGUCUUGCAGACACGCGUCUAGAUGCCCCGUGUCAGCGUGGGUGGGUUUUAGAACAUGCGGAUUUGGAGCUGAUUUCACGUUUGUUACAGGGCCCCGGGGGUCCCGUCCCCCACUACUACAUGUGAACCUUCGCGCACCUCGGCAUACCACAUCAUGGCGUCACAGACGAAGUCACCGAUGGGGGCCUCGCCCAGGCGAACAGUGGCCUUGUCGGAAACCAGGGUGUGCGACAGAGUGCCCAGUGCGCAGGAGGCGGUGGAGACGGGCUCCGCGGAGCAGAUGCCGCUGCUGCCGCCCAGGUCGCAGCGGUUGAUGCGGCCCUCGGCAGCAGCGUAGCCGGUGACCUGCAGGGACAGGAAGAGAGAGCCGUGAGGACCAUCGGGCAUGAGAAAGACGCGUGUGUGUGCACUGCGGCUCCAACCGCCCCACAUACAACGUAAUCACUAGUCACGCCAUACGUGCUUUAGACACUAUAAAUGUUUAGACGCUAUAUCUAUCUACCAUACAGGAUAUGCUCGGUACGCAACUUAUCGUACACGCGGCAUAUGCUACAUAUGCUACACAAGGGUUAGCGUAUAAACGACCUAUGAGACACCAGAGCCACACUCGGUAGCAACAACGGUAAAAGUACACGUUCCAAAGCCUGGCAUGAAUGGGGGCGCGGGGACCUGCUGAGGGGCGAAUGGGUCCCUGCGUAUCCCUUGGUACCACCUGCGGGGGAUUCAACGCGCACAUACACACACACACACACACACACACAGACACACGCACACACAGACACGCACACACACAGACACACACACACAGACACACAGACACACACACACAGCCACGCACACACACACACAGACAGACACACAGACACACACACACACAGACACACACACACAGACACACACAGACACACACACAGACACACACACAGACACACACACAGACACACACACACACACACACACACACACAGACACACACACAUAUAUGCGUCCGCAUCCCUUCUCACUGCUAGGUUACAUGUCAGGGUCGGGCUGCUUUAAAAGGCUGCACACAAAACCAGUCGGCAAGUAGUGGUGGUUACUGUGCGCAUGGAGUACUCACAGGUGAACUGUACGACAGGAACUCCUCCACAGCAUCCACAACAAAGAGCCCCGUCACCGCUGCCGUCUGCGCUGCCCUGAUGGUCAGGUAGCCAUCGCCGCCUGACCAGAGGGAGUGGGGAGGGCCGGGGAAGGGCGGAGAGGUAGGUUAAGGGUGGGAUGUAAGGGUGUAUUGGUAGGCCAACAUCACCCCCAUUUCAGGACAGACCCUAGCACAGGACAGUGCUACGUGUACUGUGCUAGGGGACUCAACAACUCGGUAUCCGGGCCCCAAAGCAGCAGCAGUAGCUGCAGCAGCUGCGAAUCCAGAUUGACCCACACCAAAAGUUUGGAAAACAGCAAAGGAGUUCAACAGGGGAAGAAGUAACGCAGAUGAUGGUUUUCCUCAAUGGCAAAGUAAGGUCGUUGAGGCAAAAGUGUAACGAACCAACACGCUGGGCGACGCUGCCAGCAUCCGUGUCAACGGGUACCCUAAUAUUAGGGCAACCACCGCAUCUAGGCCGUACAGCUGUACGGAGCCCGUUGCAAAAGGCUGUUGGAUUCACAGCGUUACCCUAAUAUGUACGGCACCUGAUGGGUAGCGACGCUACCAUGCUACAGUACUAUAUAUUACAGAAAGGUGUGUAUGUAUUUGUGUGUAUGUGUGUAUGUGUGUAAAACAUCACUAGCAGGCACGUGAUGGUGUUCCAUUGUCGCACUCACAUUGCUUGUGCGCCGCCGUUAAUGUUUGUGUGGGGGCCCCUACCCCCUAUGUUCUUUGUGCCGUUCUAGCGAUAUCCUCCGGACACCAGAGCAGCACAGCCCCCCAUCCGUCAAGUCACACACUUACCCGCCGCCAUAUAAUCGUUGGUCACCAAUGCGUACUGGGCGCAAGGAUCGACGGGCGAGUACGAACCGUCCCCGUUCGCAACCUCAAUGGCCGACACGCGCUGGUUGACCGGCUUGGUGGCGUCGUACGCAAAACGGAAGCCGCCCACCUGUCGAAUAACGUGAAAGCAUGCAGUUUCAUCAACAAACACAGCAAGUUGAAGGAAGCCUUUGUGGACGAGCCUCCUUACUUGUUUCCGUACGCCAUGUCAAAAGCUAGGGUGUUUGGACCUGCUAUUAAAACUUCUACCGUCGGCCCGUUCACACAUCAAGCAGUAGUACACGCAUUAACGCCGGUACGGCAGAUGGCCCUCGGGCCUUAACCCUUGCCGAGCCCUGUGGAAUAAAAUCCGCAGUCUCGUUCAGCUGAUCUUGUCUGUUCCCACCGUUUUCCUUCCUAAAGUGCAUAUCAUCUUAAACAGUGCCGUACAUAUUUCGCCUCCGGUUUCUUCACUCAGCCUCUAAGCUGCCGUAAGGCUGGACACCGGUAGCGAUCAGCGGCCCGACUGGUGUUGCGGUCUUGAGGGAACACCCCAUCGCAGGACGGAUGCGGUUAAUAUGCCAACUGCCAACUGUCAACUGCCAGCUGCCAACUGCCAAAUUGCCAAUGGUUCACAACUUGGAUCCCGUUGCAGUUCGGCGGUGCAGAAGUAGCUACUAGGCACCAUAAGUAACACAUGCACACAUGCAUCCUGUGGGGAUCAGCUGCACCGUCAUGUACACGGCCACGGUAUCACCUCACCUGUGCAAACUGCCCGAUCGCCUCGCCCCCGGCAAUGUUGCCCUCAACGCUGUUCUCGAGAGCCGAUUUGAGGCCCGUAACGGAAAUGAACUUGAGCACCAGGGUAUUGCCGUACGGCAGGGCGGCCGCGAUUUGACCUACGGUGUUGGUUUUGUUCGUUGGAAAUAGAUUGAUUAAAUUCAAGGCCUGGUUAAACUUCACUGCGACAUGGACAGGUUGUAGCGCCAUGAUCACCAACAUCGUGUACACUGUUCCACGCCAUGCAUGGCCGUGUGCAACCGUGUACAGCCAUGUGCAGCCAUGUACGACAACCUACGUAUUUAUAUAAAUAAUGUUAGUCCGAAUAAUGGUUAGAUGUCAUUGCAGUAGCAAUCCAGCUCCUGGACAUACGGCCAUGGGCGUUAUGCAUGGUUUCCUUCAUCCCUUAGUUUCUGACCGCAUCAGUAUUUUACCAGCAGCCAGGUAUCCUGUGCUGCAAUAAUUAGCAUUAACAAUACCCUUUGCAAGUCUGUCUACAAUGAUAAUCCUACCUAUCAGCACUCAUGGCCGUACAUGCAAUGCCGUACACUGAAUGCGUACCUGAGGUCACAGGUCCCGCAGGAAGAUUCGCGCGGAUCGAACCGGAGUUCACCAUGCAGAAAUCCGGCGUUGUUUGGAAAUAGCGCUGUCGAUAACGACAGGAACAAGCACGGAUAAUGGGUUGUUGGGGAAUCGUAAUUGAUGGGUAUUAUAAUCAAGGAACUGCUAAGGUCCGUCCCGACAAGGUCGGACAGGGCGGCAAACGCACGCGCCGGCACCGAACAAAGAGGUGUUUGGUACACGCGAGCACCGCAACAACGUACGGCAAAACAAGGCAUCCAUUACUUAAACGCGCAUGUUCUGAAUCUGAACCUUGCUAUUAGGCGCAGCCCACCAGACCGUCUUCAUACUUCAGGAUGGAUGGCAGUAGCGCAAUGGACGUCGGUGUGAUCAUAUUAGCGCGUACGAUGGGGAGAGUACGUGAAGGGAUGUUGGUUCCGUUCGUAUCCCCCAGCUCCCCGUCCUCACCCUGCGGGCCCCUCCCUCCCUCCCAACGCACCUCUGCAUACCACAUCAUGGCGUCACAGACGAAGUCACCGAUGGGGGCCUGGCCCAGGCGAACAGUGGCCUUGUCGGAAACCAGGGUGUGCGACAGAGUGCCCAGUGCGCAGGAGGCGGUGGAGACGGGCUCCGCGGAGCAGAUGUCGCUGCUGCCGCCCAGGUCGCAGCGGUUGAUGCGGCCCUCGGCAGCAGCGUAGCCGGUGACCUGCAGGGACAGGAAGGAAGAGCCGUGAGGGCCAUCGGGCAUGAGGAAGGCACGUGAACGAGGGAAAUCAAUGUGGACGAAGUAACGGAGCUUUUGAGAAACGCUUCUUUGACGGCGCGCAUGUGCCGCCCUGUCCGACCUUGUCCGUCAAUUUCAAAUUAUGACGGAGUUAUGGUGACUGAUGAUGAGCAGCGGUCGGUGUUUGCUAUAGCGCUGCAUUGCCAAAGCUACGAACAGGCCUAGGCCAAGGCCCCAGUCGUUGUAA